CGUCAGGAAUUCUGUUUCCUUCAUUUCCGUUGACUCAGGCAAAGGCCAUCGCUGUUCCUCCCAACUGAGACGACUUAUCAGGGCCAGGCAGUGUGGAAACAGGAAGGGAGGGGAUCCAGAGACACGGGGGCUUCUGCAUGGUGGUCUGUCCCCUCUCAGCGGGAGGCCUGUCUACAUCUGCAUUCACAGUUUCUGCUCUCCCGCAUACACAGUAUGUAAAAAACAGCACAUCAAAAGAGCAGGAUGUCUGAAUACUGAGUAUUUAUGGCAUGGGAAAAAAGACGACUCACUGUAUGGCUACUCAAUGACCCGGAACAACGGCUGUAAUCGCUGUGGCUCCACGGCCCUGAAACAACACAAGCCGCCCUGCACAAAUAUGCCUCUCUGCUUGACCAGACAGAGGCCGAUGGAAACGGCCACCCUAUUAAACCCCACAGAUUUCAAAGGUGGCCGACAAUCUCUGCCAGUUUAUCAUUCAAACAGCGAAUCAACCACACCCUUACAAACACUGCCCACUCCAUCAGCAGCUGGACUCGAUGACACUUUGGAAAUAAGAACUGCCCUAAAAUUGUGUUGGAUUAAUGGAUGUGAAUUUGGUAGAAUAAACAAAGAAAUCUAUAGCUCUGUUGUGCAGAUGUGGACCGAUCUACAAAAGUACAAAUAUUAAUGGAGCAUUUGAUUUUGGAGAGUUUUGUUUCGAACAAGUAUAUUCAUAAACCAAUGAUUCGAGCUCCAGAGGAGCUUUGACAAAAUUCAUGAUGAAUAAUAACAACGAAAGCUCUCACAUAUACAGGAAAAUCAGAUAUAAACGAAUAUUGAAUUCUGAUUGACAGUGUAUGCAAGACAAAACCAGCUAUCGUACUGCCAUCAUCUGAGCUCCAUUGACUGACAGCAAAUUUUCAUUCUCUAUCAUAUCUGUGAAAUCUGACCACUUUUUAGAAACCGAACGAUGUUGCUGCUUCACUGUGAACCAUCAGCUCCUGCGGUGUCCGUCUUUAUUUUUAGAUGGAGGGAUCGCGUUUCGGCAAUGAGAAGACCCCUCUAACAGGAAGUCACCCAGUGGGACAUCAGGCUGUCUCUGGCUAGCUUGGGCCUUGAGCUCAGCUCAUCCUGAGGGUGAAUUACACACACGCACACGCUCUGGAUACAUUGGUUAAACUCCAUCUGAACUCAACAUGAAUAUCCGCAUGGCCUUGUCAUGCUAUAAGGAGAAUCACACUGCUUGUGGUAAGUUCUCAUGGGUCGAAUGAGGAAGAGCUCUGUGGGUAUGUUAAACAACACCUCAUGAACAUAUAAUAAAGACUUCAUAACUCUGAAAGUGACUGAUGGUAUUACACAUGUGAAUAUGUCAAUAUUGAUCACAGUAAAUAAGCUGAAAUGACACAUGCGCCAUAUUCAAGCUUUAUAUAAAGCUUUAAUAAAGCUUUUCUUAAGGGUUUUUAAUGUCGUUUAGGUGUUGUUUUUAUACAGUAUACUGUAUAUAAUGAAAAUGUUCAUCGCAUGACAAUGCUCCCUCAUUAU